rnacentral:rRNA from 1 species
GAUGAACGCUGGCCGCGUGCUUAACACAUGCAAGUCGAACGAAGCACUUAAGAUUGAUUCUUCGGAUGACGUCUUUUGUGCCUUAGUGGCGGACGGGUGAGUAACGCGUGGGUAACCUGCCUCACACAGGGGGAUAACAGUUAGAAAUGACUGCUAAUACCGCAUAACCCGAUAGGAUCGCAUGAUCCAGACGGAAAAGAUUUAUCGGUGUGAGAUGGACCCGCGUCUGAUUAGCUAGUUGGUGAGGUAACGGCCCACCAAGGCGACGAUCAGUAGCCGGCCUGAGAGGGUGAACGGCCACAUUGGGACUGAGACACGGCCCAAACUCCUACGGGAGGCAGCAGUGGGGAAUAUUGCACAAUGGGGGAAACCCUGAUGCAGCGACGCCGCGUGAGUGAAGAAGUAUUUCGGUAUGUAAAGCUCUAUCAGCAGGGAAGAAAAUGACGGUACCUGACGAAGAAGCCCCGGCUAACUACGUG